GGCGCUGCGCCACCGGGGGACGCCCUGGGCUCAUUUCUCUGACAGUCCUUCUACUAGGUAGGUGUAGGAUUACGAAGAGGAAGGCCUGAGAGGAAACAAGCAUUUUGUGAAUCCCUCCUUCCAAUAUGGAGAAAAUCCCACAAUGAAGUGCAUUGAGGCUGGGGCUAUUUCUCAUUCAUCUUUUUAUCUCUGGCACAGUGCCUGGCCCUGUGCUUCAUUUUCCUUGUCAACAAAAUGGGGAUAAUCACAUCUACCUUGGAAUUGUUAUGAGGAUCACAUGGAGAAACACAAGUGAAAUGCUCUGUAGAUAUAAAGCAUGUAUCAACGAUGAUCUUUCUCCCUGUUUCUCCACAUACAUAGAGAUAAAGAGGUCCCAAUUACAAGGUGGGAGAACCUGGAACAAGAAGGGAAUGAUCUGUACCUUUAAAAAGAGAAAAGGGGAGAAAAGAUGGAUUUUCUGAAUCACAUUCUGUGAGGAAUUCAAAUCUCUUGGAAGAACAGGAGAGAUACCCUUUUCAUCAAGUGGCCUGAUGAGGGAAGGUCACCUGGCGUGGAGCAGAAGAACUAUGAUGGCCUGUGGAGGCCCGCAGUGUGCUUCGGGAGGGCUGCAUGCUGCAGCCUUUCCCUCUGCUUCCAUAUGACUCUUCCAGGAGAGAUGGCUGCUGACAUCUAAAAUUCUCAAAGUACAGAGGAGGAGUUCCUGGCCUCCACUUCCAUUCAAAAACCAUCCUGUGCAGAGGCCACUUCUUAUCUAGGACAUGCCAAUCUGCUGAAAGCAGGGAAAACUUGGUUUCAUAGCACGGUGAAGCAAAUCACCUCCAUGAGUAUCCAAUAUUCUCCAUAAACAGGUUUGAAAAGAGCUCCACAGGAUUUGUAGUUUCUCAUUUGCCUGCUUUAUGGUAGGGACUGGAUUUUAUCCAUCUGAGUGUUCCCCAGCACUAAAGCAGGGUCCCAAGUGUACUUGUUGCUCAGUAGUGGUUUUCUGAAUAGGCUUAACUGAGCAGGAGGUAGGAGGACUGGCUCGCUCCUCACAAGGCCAUGACUUUUGUUCUAAUAAAGUCUCUUCCAAUUAAAUGAGUCUACCUGAUCCCUGUCAUUCUGUCAAGCAUGUGGCAGAUAUUGAAUGCCUUUACCCAUUCCAACUCCUUCCCUCCUUAAACAAGAAAGGGGUCAGAGUCAACAUCUUACCUUACAUUACCCGGGUGUUGCCAAUGACUCUC
rnacentral:lncRNA from 10 species